rnacentral:lncRNA from 1 species
UCAUCUUUAAUGAGAAAAUAAAAUGUUAUUAUAGAAAAAAAAUUUAAAUUCUCUCUUAUGACAUAUAUGACCAAGCUUCAAGCCCCGUCUAUAGCUGGUAUAAAGAUAAUAUGGCAUGUAUUUUAAACAAGUAUGGCAUUAAAGAAUAAAAUGCUCACAAUAAGGCAUUUUAAUCACAAUAAGGCACUUUAAUACUAAGCCAAUCAUAAACUAAAGCUUAUAUAGCAUUUGAAUAUUAAAUGCUCACUUCUUAUGCAUUGUUUUGAUUUCCAAGCCCCAACUGAAGUUGAUGUAAAAUAUCCCAAAGAAUAAAAUCAUAAUCAUUCAUUGCUGUUAAAAACCUUAAGAGCUUCCAAUGUUUGGCUUAAGCUUUCCAUAUUCAAAAUGAUUAAGAUUCAAAACUCAUUGACUGAAUAAGAUAGACUAAAAAAAAGUUUGCCAUACAUUUAUAUUUAUUUUCCUUUUAACUGUUUCUUUUAAAAUUUUGUAUAUUCACCUGAUUGCUUGGAUUUACUUUUAUUUCAAUGUUUCAGGAUUGCAGAAAGGAUUCAAGAUUUAUCAAUGUCAGCGUUGCAAAUAUUUCAGUUAUUUUAAAGCAGACCUUGUCAAGCAUAAUAGAACACACACUGGGGAGAAACCUUAUUCAUGUGACGUUUGUGGAACUUCUUUCACUCAAAAUUCAAGUUUGUUGCGCCAUAAAGCAACAUCAUGUUGGAAAACCAAGUUAUACUGAUUUCUUUUUGAUACUCAUGAUUUAUGAAAAACUCAUAGAAGUACAGUGAAUCAGAAAUAAAAAGAAGUAUCAUCACUGCCUUUAUUGCCGCUAUUCAGCCUAUUCAAAAACAGACGUCACUAGACACAGUAGAGUUCAUACUGGAGAAAAACCUUUUUCAUGCGAUGCCUGUGGGAAAUGCUUCUCUCAAAAAUCAUCCAUGUUGCGACAUUCACUCACACAUCAUUGUUGAAAUAUUUAUGUUUUACAUGUGUGCCAUCAUUUUAUUUUUGAUACUGAAUGGCUCAAAUUGUUUCACUUAUAGUUAAGUUAGCUGUUUUACAUUGUUGUGCCACCAUUUUUAUAAACAAAUAUGGCCCUGCACGCCAGUUGAAUCUAACAACCAUGGUGCUACAUCUCAUGUCACUUGUAUCAUUUGAACCAAAUUGUUUGUUUAUCUAUAUUGUGAUGCGAAAUAUAACAGUCGAAUUUUGACUCAAAGGAAAAAAUCAUUGAAGGGGAGAAUAAAUUUUUUAAGUUUUAAAAUUCCCUUCCUGUAAACAUUUCUUGUUGGGAAACUAAUGAUAGUUUUUUCUAUAAAUCCAAUAUCUAUUAAAAAAUUUCAUUUUAUUUUUACAUAUAAUUUCUUAAAUAUAAUUUGUUCUACUCUUAAAGCAUGCCUAUGAGCUUUAAAUGUUAAUCAAGCCUUGAAUUGAAAUAAUUUUGUUAAACAUGGAAUUGAAAUAAGUUUGUUAAACAUCAAAUUAAAUUUUUUUUUUAUUUAAAAAACAGCUUUUUCAUAACUGCUACUAUUGUUGUCAAUUAUACUUCUGUACCCCACUUAAUUUAUCCAUUACUGUUUUUUUGUUUGCACAAUGUAAAUGCAUCAAAAAAUCUAUUUUGAAAUAGAAAUGUUAGUAAAUUAAUGUUAAGGAAAUUCAUACAACUUUUGUUUUGUUCCUUAUAAUAUGUGCUAAAUGUGCAGCAUUUUUUACCGAAAUUUGUAAAAUGUAGUUUUUUAUGGUAACAAUUAAAGUAAUAUUGUUUUAUGUUCAACAAGGAGAAUAAUUAUUAUCUAAGUUUGCUUUUUAUCUCAGUUCCUUUCCACCUGCUGUUUCUUUAUUUUUUUUUUAAGACUAGUAAGAGUUUAUACAGAAAAUGAUAUUGCAAGUAUACUAUGCUGGCAGAGUUAUCAAUUUCAUAUUGACUGUACUAGUUUUUUUUGUUUUGCUAGUACGAAAAUACAUGUAAAGAAGUAUUCAUACAUUAGGAGAAGUUCAGAACAAAACCUGAUGUGUUUGAAUUAUUAAAAAUAAAAGGAUAGAGUUAAUUUAGACCUAGAUUGAUUGCCAACAAUAUUUAUAAAUUAUAUUGGACUUGCUAUGAAAAAUUAUUGGAAUUUUUCGAAAAUUUUUAAAAAUUUUUCCAUAAAAAGCUUGUUGUAGAUUUCAGAGAAAACACCCUAUUCUAAACGUACUGAUAACGAGAAAUUAGUUAGCUUAAAAAUACAAGUAAGUCUGUUAAAUGAACCCAGGAAACGGAAGAUAUUUCUUGAUUAAAAACUUCAUUCACUUUUAAAAUGUACAAAUUGGAAAAAAAUUUUCAGGUACUACUCAAAAAUAGGUGCAUGUAUGAGAAGAAACAAAAGUAACUAGAAAUAUAAAACAUAAUGUUACCUUCGAAAAAUAAAGAUGAGAAACAAAACUAAAAAAACCUCAGUAACUGAGAUAGAAAAAAGCAGAACUAAGAAGUCAUAGAGGACAAGAUAGGCUUAUUAGGGUAAAAUGAAUUUCUGUGCUAUUAUGGAGAAGUAGGGCGGAUCUAAUGUCGUUAGCAAGUGAAUCAGCGUCCAUAUGAAUAAAACAAGAUUCCAGGGCAUCAAGAUUAGCUGGUGUAACUAGGGUGGAAAUAAUUUUGGCAUUGUUGAAAUUGAAUUCAUGCCCAAGAAUCCAACAAUACUCAGCAAUUGAUAAUUUCUCAUAUUCUGGAUAGCGGACAUUGAUUAAACCUAAGUUUUAAGUUGCUUUAUAAUUUGUCCAAGGCUGCAUUGGCAAAGAAUGUGGUAAAUUCCCCAACAAUUAUAAAAAAUUCAAUAAAGAUCUGAAGUUUUUAAUCAAGUAAGGCAAGUAAAUCUAUUCAUGGAACUUGUAGAUUUGAACAUUCACACAUUUUAGUGUAAUUUUUAAAGAGGACAUUAGACUUCAUCGCAAAUUUUUUUAUUAAUAAAAUGUAUGGGAUUGUGUUACUUCAGGUCAUCAAUUUCAUGUUUGAUGAUCUCAUCUUUUUUGUAUGCUUAAAUUUAAUAAACUUAUGGGCAGUUUUGAAGCUUUUAUAGUAGUUAUAAAUCAAAGAGAAAUUGCGACAAAAUGUUGUCACACAUUUUCUACUGGGUUUGUGCAAAUGCAGCACUAUGUUUAAAAGAGUAAUUUUGUGUUCUUUUUAUAAUGAAAUAUAAGUGUAUAAAGUUGAAAUGUUAUAUCUUAAACAAAUUUCGUUUUAAUUUUGGUCUUUAAUAUGUUAAAUAAAUAGGGUAAUCAUCCAUUACUGAUGUGAUCCAUGAUUUUAAUUUUGGCCUUUAAUAGGUUAAAUAAAUAGGGCAUUCAUCCAUUACUGAUGUUCAACAGAUUUUGUCUGAUAAAACAAAAAAUAAAAUCAUUGAAAUAAAAAAAAAAUUU